GUGGGGAAUCUUCCGCAAUGGACGAAAGUCUGACGGAGCAACGCCGCGUGAGUGAAGAAGGUUUUCGGAUCGUAAAGCUCUUUCGUUAGGGACGAACGUGCUCUUUGUGAAUAAUGAGGAGUAAUGACGGUACCUAAAUAAGAAGCCACGGCUAACUACGUGCCAGCAGCCGCGGUAAUACGUAGGUGGCAAGCGUUGUCCGGAAUUAUUGGGCGUAAAGCGCGCGCAGGCGGGAUAUCACGUCUGUCUUAAAAGUGCGAGGCUCAACCUCGUGAGGGGACAGAAACUGGUAUUCUUGAGUGUCGGAGAGGAAAGUGGAAUUCCAAGUGUAGCGGUGAAAUGCGUAGAGAUUUGGAAGAACACCAGUGGCGAAGGCGACUUUCUGGACGAUGUCUGACGCUGAGGCGCGAAAGCUAGGGGAGCGAACGGGAUUAGAUACCCCGGUAGUCC
rnacentral:rRNA from 1 species